AGAAAGUUGAAGCUAGAGGCUGGGGAGAGGGCUCAGUGGGAAGGUGCCUGCCACAGCAUGCAAACAUGAGGAUCUGAGUGUGGACCCCCACAACACACAGGAGUUAGACAGCUCUGCUAACCGGAGGCAAAACUAAGAGUGGAGUGAACCUAGCAUCUUGCUGAAAUCCGGCCAUCACACCACGAUGAACUGGUACAGACACGGUACAGAAGGCAGCUGUCCGACGGAGCUCUCGAAGCCUACCUCUGGCUCUAGGCCUCCAGCCAGCGAUCAUGGACCUGAAGCUGGCAGACAAAAGCAGAUUCUCGGGUUUGAUAAGCAGAAGUUUCUCUGAUGUCACCUGAGGAGCAACCACAAGGCUGCCCCUCCCCCGCCCUGAGAAACUUUCCCAUGGCCACCUUGAAGCGAUGGUGCCCUAAACACAGUCUCCUGAGUGA